GGGAAGCCGGGGCUGGCUAGCAGUGCCCUUUUGUCCAUGGAGGCUGCAGCGGCGGCGGCGACGACAGCCGCCCCCUCCCCACCCCCGGCGGUCACCAGUCGGAGUUUCCAAGUCUCUCCUCCUUCUCUCCUCCCCGCCCGGCGCUUCCGAGCCCCUUCUCUCUCUUUUCUUUUUAUUUUUCCGCACCGCACGGGCCCCGGGGGCCAAAAAUAAUCGGGGCUCUGGAGAGAGGAGGGUCCCGGCCGCACGGAUAUCGGGCCCCGAGGGGGGAUGGAGGCGUCGGGGGCGGCCGAUGCAACGGAUUGCGAGGCGGCGGCGGCAGCCCGGGUGCUGCGGCCGGCAGCUGAAAAAUGGCUCCAGGAAGCUGCUGCUGACAAUGAAUGAAGGGAUACGGUUUACGCGCCAAGGUCCUCCCGCGAAACUCAGAUUUCCCGCCGGCUUUUCAAACCAUAUUUGCAUAUCCCCGCCCUCCAACCCGGCGAGGCCCGUUCCCACAGCCCAUUGGGCCGCUGCCUCCUCACUUAACUCCCAAUCGAGGCGCAGGGCCGCGACUUGCCGGUUUCCGUUGGCCACCGUGCAUCAUGGUUACCGGGGCUACAGAGGCUCUAUUUGCAUAGGCCUCCUUGAUUGGUCGGGGGAGAGCAGGGUUUUUUAGGAGGUGGGGCCAAGCCUUCCCUUCUCUCCCACGGAAAACCACGCCUUGUCCAAGCUCCGCCCGGUCCCCGCCCGCGCGUCGGGCGGGGGCUGCUGACCUGGGCAGGCGCUCAGCGCCCCGCAGACUCAGUGAGGAUCCGGUCUGGAGCGCAAGUUUCGCUUUUAGAAAUCGUCAAGGUGACCAAGGGGACACUCGCUGGAAUUCUCUUUCCUCUGGCCAGUCAGUGUAGUAGAUGUGCACGAGCUGGAGGUUUUCCCAAAUACGUUCCAAAGGCAAAGUUGGACCACGCGGACGAUGCCCGGCAGGUGGGCUCGGAGCCCUUUAAAUCGUGGGUUUCUCUUUUCCUGAAUUCCAACCAAUGCCGCGGCGAGAGCUGAUCCCGAGGCCCAGGCUGAUCGACAGAAGCAUGUGGGCAGACGGGAUCGUGGGGGCAGAAGGUUGGGCUGACGCUAUUGCGGGCACCACUUGAGUUAGCAUUCCAGAUCCUUCCUGGUGGCUUCGUUAGGAGCCUGGAUGGGGUCGAAGUGACAAUUAACUCUGCAAGGUCUGGAGCGAAAGCUUACCACGAGUGUUGGUUUGAGUCCCGCGGAUGCCCCUCCCCCCCGACCCCUCCCGGUCCGGGAGCACCCAGGGCAUUUAAUCAGGGCUAACCUAGGGCUGAUCUGCGGGUUUCUAAUCCGCCAGGCAGGAACCCGAAGAAGUGCACGCUUCGCACGGUGACGUCUUGCUCCCAGCCAACGCUGCGCGCCCAGACACCGGCGCUUGACAAUCUCGGUUUCCUACCAAGUUCUCCGUCAGAAAGCAAACGCGGCGAUCGAGACUCAUUCCAAAACAUUUUUAAAGACUUUUUUUUUUUUUUAAUUUUAGCAUACCAUAAGUGGUCACCCAAAGUCUAUAUGGCCGAAUGGACUUCUGCAUGGAUGCAACUGUUCAUGGGUCUUAAAAUCGAAGAUUGCCCCUGUGAGACUGCACAGGAAAAGGGACCCCUGCAGGAGUGUGGGGAAAGGUGUACGUGUCAGUCGUCAUUUACCAUUCCAGUCGCUGAGAAUUGUACAAAACAGCCGCUAAGCUGGUGUUCACGGGGUGAUGAGGGUUGCGAUUCUUCGUGUCCCGACCCAAAACUUUAUUAUGGUUAUGAUUCUUAUUAUUAAUAGUAAUUUCCAAAAACGCAUAUACUCAGUAUUAUGAAAGGCCUGGACAGAUAGGUCAGUGGAGGGAGGCUCAGACUCCUAAAUACUUCAGUCCUAUUACCUGGUCAAACCUGGCCUCUGGCUCAGGAAGGUUUUGCGCUUGCAUGCCGGCUAGUUGAGGACACGUGGCCUAGUCCCCAAACAUUUACUGACACCUAUCAUAAAACUGACACUCUCUUUAGGGCAGAUUAGAUGGUACUCAGAGGGCAUCAAUUCUUUUGGACUAGAGGUGUAAUGUAUUAGUUUCCCUGAUUCUGUCCCAUGGAUGCUGCUUUCCACCAUGGGUGGGAAAAGAACCCUAGUACUGUCACUAGGUGGAUAUUACCCGCUGUGGUACAUGGCUGGCGGCGUGCUUGUGGUGGUGGCAGUGAGGGUUGUGGGGGAGUCGUGACGGACCUGCAUUUUUAUGAUGAGAGACAAGCCCAGGGUUUGGAACUGUAUGCAAAAUCCCAGCUAGAGCGCCCAGCGAGGGAUUACGAUGACAUCCACAGAGGGCUGUGUUCACACAAUCCAGAUCCACACUGGUGAUUCUGGUUUAGAAAGCUCUGACACCCUUCUCCUUUAGCCAAGCUAUAUUUUUAAUGUAGGGUAUUUGGUCGAAAGCAAACGUUUUGUCCUUUUAGGUCUUGCGGCAGAAAAUAAGAUGCUAAAAUUUGAGGUAGGCUAUUGAUUUGUGGACAGGGAGCAUGUUUUGGUAGAAAGAUAAUGGGCUUUGGAGCCACUUACUAGUUACAUAACUUUAAUCUCUAAAAGCCUGUUUUCUCAUAUGUUCUCUGGGAACUCCUAUUGCAGUGCCCAUAUUACAAGGUCAUGAUGAAAGAGGCAAUAAUAAAUGUUAAGCACCGGGCGUAUAGCAUAGCAGGCGUUCGAUAAGUGGGAGCUAUUUAUGAUUCUGUUUAUUUGUGUGACUAUGCUUUGUAGCUCUGUGUUGUCCAAUCUGACUCCCAGCCUCAAAUCUUCCCUUUUGCCCUUGGAUGUUCACUGGCCACGCAGCUUAGCUUUGUCCCAGAGUAGGAGCACUGGCAUGUUCUGGUUAGUAGGGAUUCCGGAAUCCUGACGCAGAAGUUCAGGGUAAUAAAAUAAAGUCAUCUCUGCUGCCUGUCCCACUCCCAUCUCAGUGGCUCCUGGCUGGCUCCUAAGUCUGAGCCUUCCUAUCCUUCUCUGGAAGGUCAGACCGAUCUGGACUAGAGCCAAACUGCUUUUGCCAAUCAGCACCCCCUUUCUCUUGCUUCGACAGUGGCCCAGGCAGCUAGCUGUUACAAAAUGGGCCUGCAUAGUUGGUUUGAAUGGUGGCCCCUCCAAAAAUCAUGUCUUUAUCCUUACCCCCAGAACCCAUAGUGUGAACAUAGUUGGAAAAAGGAUCUUUGCAGAUCUAAUUAAGUCAAGAAUCUCAAGAUCCUUUUGGGCGAGCCCAAAGUCCCGUGACAAAUAAAUCCAGUGACCAAUGUCCCUGGAAGAGACACCCAGUGGAAAGACACAGAGGAGGAGAGACUUUGAGAAGGUGGAGGCAGAGACCGGAAUGAGCAGCUCCAAGUCAAGAAAUGCCAGCAGCAACCAGAAGCCAUGAGAGGCAAGGGAUAGAAUCUUCCACAGAGCCUGUGGCGGAAGCAGAGCCCUGCCGACACCCAGAUUUAGGACUUCUGCCCUCUGGACCAGUGAGAGAAUAAAUUUCUGUUGUUCUGA